rnacentral:lncRNA from 1 species
UCUCAUCUCUCUUUCGAAACGUCGCCGUUCGACAUCGAAGUGUCGUUGCCCCUAUAUCUCCCCAUCUUUGCUCUCAAAUCUUUCAAUAUUUAACAUAUUUAAUUCGUAAUUAUACGCUUGUGUUUGAUUUCUAUAAUUGAUUGUGCUAGUCAUUAUGAGAUGAUGGACGAAUGGGUUGUAACGGGGAGGUCAAGUUGGAGCGAUCCAGGGGGAAGAAGGUGGGGGAGAAGUGGGUGCUGAAUAUUGAAAAGAGAAGGUACCGAAGGUUAUGAUAUGUGUAUGUAAU